CAGUCAAGAUGAAAAACUUCUUCUAAUGGAAUCCAGCUUGAAAGCUACUCAAGAGCAGCUAACUGAGCAAAUAGCAGAAACAGUUCGCCAAGAACAGAACAGUAGAAAACCCCAGGCAGAGCUGAAGACAGUGACAGAAGGGAUUAUUGCUUCUGAAGAAGAAAAAAUGAUUACAAAUUCUAAAUAAUGAUGUGGCGAGCAACUUUCUGUUAACUAUCAGGAAAUGUUCAAGGUCUAAGAAGACAAAGUUCUGCACCCAUUAUGUGAAAGCAGAAGGAAGUCUCCGCACCAUUCCGACCGGCCUGAUUGAAAAGAAGAUGGCUCAUGAUUCCCUGCACUGAGUUUGCAGUUGCUUUGAAAACUUAUCCCCUAAAAAUGUGAUCCAUCAGUUUCCUUUAACUUCAGUCAUGUCUUUUAUCCUUGAAAUAAAAAUAUCCUGGAUAUUUUCUCCACUUUAAUUCUGAUCAGUUCCUGGGCUUGGGUGUGGAUCGGUGAUGGCAGGCAGGAAGAAAAAGGAGAAGAUGAAAAAUAUUGCACUUACCCUGGUUGUGAAUCACAUUGAUUUAUAACUUUGAAGCUGAGAAGUCUUAGUAGUUUUUUGUUUGUUUUAUUAGAUGCAGAUGGUAUAGUUGUGUCAAUUGUAUUAUGUUUUAGUAAUAUUGUAUUAGUUGACUUAAGGGGUUGCAAUUCUGAUUGGGAUUUAUAUCAGCUAGUUUUAAACAGCAAUUUACCUAGUGCAUUGGAAAUAAAACUGCAUUCAUAAAUGUAACUAAAAUGUCAUAAAUGUAUUUACUAGUAAAUGAAGAUAUUCUUAAGAAUGAAAUGGCAAGGCAAUAUAAUUAAUUCGAAACUUGUUUCUAAAAUGUUAAUAA